rnacentral:rRNA from 1 species
AUUGAACGCUGGCGGCAGGCUUAACACAUGCAAGUCGAACGGUAACAGGGAGCUUGCUCCGCUGACGAGUGGCGAACGGGUGAGUAAUGCGUCGGAACGUGCCGAGUAGUGGGGGAUAACGCAUCGAAAGGUGUGCUAAUACCGCAUACGAACUGAGGUUGAAAGUGGGGGACCUUCGGGCCUCACGCUAUUCGAGCGGCCGACGUCUGAUUAGCUAGUUGGUGAGGUAAAGGCUUACCAAGGCGACGAUCAGUAGCGGGUCUGAGAGGAUGAUCCGCCACACUGGGACUGAGACACGGCCCAGACUCCUACGGGAGGCAGCAGUGGGGAAUUUUGGACAAUGGGCGCAAGCCUGAUCCAGUCAUGCCGCGUGUCUGAAGAAGGCCUUCGGGUUGUAAAGGACUUUUGUCCGGGAGCAAAUGCUGGUGGCUAACAUCCACCGGAGCUGAGAGUACCGGAAGAAUAAGCACCGGCUAACUACGUGCCAGCAGCCGCCGUAAGAC